AUCCACUCCGGGUUUUCCCCUAUCAGCUCCCAUUCACUCCUAUUGCCUCCCAUUGACUCCCACUCCACUCCAACCCCCAAAUCCACUCCGGGUUUUCCCCCAUUCACUCCCAUUCACUCCCAUUGAUUCCUAAUUCUUCCCAUUGACUCCGAUUCCGUUCCCAGCCGCAAAUCCAGUCCUGGUUUUCCCCUAUCAGCUCCCAUUGAUUCCUAUUGACUCCCAUUCCACUCCCAGCCCCAAAUCCACUCCGGCUUUUCCCCCAUCCGCUCCCAUUCACUCCCAUCGACUCCCAUCGAGCUCCAGCUCCAAAUCCACUCCGCUUUUUCCCCCAUUCCCCCCCUCCCUUCCCCCACAGCCGUAUGGGGGAUGGGCUCCACGACCCCAAACCCCCCCCUCCCCCUUCAAGGAAACCCAUGCGAGCCGCGUGCGAAACCUCCCCCCAAAAAAACCCCCAAAAGGACCGAAAAAUGAACGGAAAGAAGCGAAAAAGAACGGAAAGAACCGGAAAAGAGCGGAAAGAAGCGAAAAAGAGCGGAAAGAACCGGAAAAGAACGGAAAGAAGCGAAAAAGAGCGGAAAGAACCGAAUAAGAACGGAAAGAACCGAAAGGGGAACCGUCGAAGUUUUUACCUGAAAUAAUAAACGUCGCUUUUGCCGGCGCUUAAACCGGAUUUACGGAUGACUUCUUCUUUUUUCCAACCGGGAGGAAGAGCCGGGCAAUCGAUCCGGCCUUGUUUUUCCAUCUUGGCGUUUCAACGCUUUGCAAAAGACGAAAGGAAAAAAGGGGCAACAAAAGCGGAAGAGGCCGUAAGGAAAUAGAAAGGAAGAAAAAAAGAAACGGGCGACGAUCCGCGAAGAGAAAAACGGGAAGGAGGGGAAGGGAAGGAAGGGGGGAAAGGGGACGAAACGCGGGGAGGCGGAGAGGCGAUGAGGGGUUCGGGUUCGGCUUGGAUUCGCUCGAGUUCGGGGAGCGUUCGGCUCGAGUUCGGAGGGGAUCGGCUCCAGUUCCGGGUUGUUCGGCUCGAGUUCGGAGGGACUCGGGAGGUGUUCGGGGCGACUUCCGGGCGAGUUCGGGGGUUUGGGGGUGACUUCCGGUCGAGUUCGGGGCCGCUCGGGCCGCACUCGGGUCGAGUUCCGGGCUGUUCCGGCAGCGUUCGGCUCCGAGUUCGGGCCGCACUCGGGUCGAGUUUCGAGCUGUUCGGGUCGAGUUCGGGGCGACUUCCGGGCGAGUUCGGAGCGGUUCGGGCAGCGUUCGGGUCGAGUUCCGCGCUGUUCGGAUCGACUUCGGAUCGCCUCCGGAAGCGUUCGGGUCGAGUUCGGAAGGAGUCGGGCAGCGUUCGGGUCGAGUUCGGCCGGGAGUUCGAGUCGAGUUCCGGGGUGUUCGCGGCGACUUCCGGUCGAGUUCGGGGCCGCUCGGCCUGCACUCGGGUCGACUUCGUGGGGACUCGGGCCGCGCUCGGGUCGAGUUCCGAGCUGUUCCGGCAGCGUUCGGCCCCGAGUUCCGGAAGGGUUCGGAGCGCACUCGGCUCGAGUUCGGGGGGGCUCAGGUCCAGUUCCGGGUUGUUCGGCUCGAGUUCGCAGGGACUCGGGAGGUGUUCGGGGCGACUUCCGGUCGAGUUCGGAGGCGUUCGGGUCGAGUUCGGGGCGACUUCCGGUCGAGUUUGGGGGCGUUCGGGUCGAGUUCGGAGGGACUCGGGUCGAGUUCGGGUGCAGUUCCGGGGUGUUCGUGACGCACUCGGGUUGAGUUCGGGGAGACUUCCGGUAGAGUUCGGGCAGAUUCGUGCUCCGUUCUGGUUGACUUCCGGGGCGUUCGGGUCCGACUUCCGGGGUGUUCGUGACGCACUGGGGUCGGGUUCGGGGGGGGCUCGGGCUCCACUCGGGUCGACUUCCGGGAACUCCGGAAGGACUCGGGGCAACUUCCGGUCGAGUUCGGGGGGACUCGGGCUGCGUUCAGCUCCGAGUUCCGGGCUGUUCGGCUUGAGUUCGGGUCGCCUUCGGGUCGAGUUCGGGGGCAAUCGGGGGGAGUUCGGGUCGAGUUCGGGAAGCGCUCGGGUUCGAAUCGGAGGCGUUCGGGUCUUUUCCGGUGACGCUCGGAGGUGUUCGGGGGGGGGUUGA
rnacentral:lncRNA from 1 species